AUAGAACGCUGGCGGCAGGCCUAACACAUGCAAGUCUAACAAGUGGCGGACGGGUGAGUAAUGUCUGGGAAACUGCCUGAUGGAGGGGGAUAACUACUGGAAACGGUAGCUCAUACCGCAUACCAUCGGAUGUGCCCAGAUGGGAUUAGCUAGUAGGGGGGGUAAAGGCUCACCUAGGCGACGAUCCCUAGCUGGUCUGAGAGGAUGACCAGCCACACUGGAUGUGAGACACGGUCCAGACGCGUAGGGGAGGCAGCAGUGGGGAAUAUUGCACAAUGGGCGCAAGCCUGAUGCAGCCAUGCGGCGUGUAUUAAGAAGGCCUUCGGGGUGUAAAGUACUUGCAGCGGGGAGGCGUGACCCGCAGAAGAAGCACCGGCUAACUCCGUGCCAGCAGACGCGGUAAUAC
rnacentral:rRNA from 1 species